rnacentral:rRNA from 1 species
UACGUAGGGUCCGAGCGUUGUCCGGAAUUAUUGGGCGUAAAGAGCUCGUAGGCGGUCUGUUGCGUCGGCUGUGAAAACCCGGGGCUCAACUCCGGGCCUGCAGUCGAUACGGGCAGACUAGAGUUCGGUAGGGGAGACUGGAAUUCCUGGUGUAGCGGUGAAAUGCGCAGAUAUCAGGAGGAACACCGGUGGCGAAGGCGGGGUCUCUGGGCCGUAACUGACGCUGAGGAGCGAAAGCGUGGGGAGCGAACAGG